rnacentral:piRNA from 1 species
UUGGCAAAACAGAUUUUGAGUUGAAGGU